rnacentral:rRNA from 1 species
UACGAAGGGGGCUAGCGUUGCUCGGAAUCACUGGGCGUAAAGGGUGCGUAGGCGGGUCUUUAAGUCAGGGGUGAAAUCCUGGAGCUCAACUCCAGAACUGCCUUCGAUACUGGCGAGCUCGAGUUCGGGAGAGGUGAGUGGAACUGCGAGUGUAGAGGUGAAAUUCGUAGAUAUUCGCAAGAACACCAGUGGCGAAGGCGGCUCACUGGCCCGAUACUGACGCUGAGGUGCGAAAGCGUGGGGAGCAAACAGG